rnacentral:snRNA from 1 species
AUGCUCACUUUGGCUACUCGUAUGCUGAAAUCAGAGUGAUUCAGAGAUUAGCAUGACCCCUGAGCAAGGAUGGCAUGCAAAUUUGUGAAGCCUCCAUAUUUUCA